rnacentral:pre_miRNA from 1 species
UGUGUACUCCCUCCGUUCCAAAAUACUUGACUUCCAUUUGUCCAAAAAUGGAUGUACCUAUAUACUAAGACAUGUCUAGAUACAUAUAUAUUUUGACAAAUAGAAGGCAUGUAUUGUGCAACAGAGGGAGUAUAAU